CUACGGGUGGCUGCAGUGGGGAAUAUUGGACAAUGGGCGAAAGCCUGAUCCAGCCAUGCCGCGUGUGUGAAGAAGGCCUGCGGGUUGUAAAGCACUUUCAGUGGGGAAGAAAGCCUUGGGGCUAAUACCCUCGAGGAAGGACAUCACCCACAGAAGAAGCACCUGCUAACUCCGUGCCAGCAGCCGCGGUAACACGGAGGGUGCGAGCGUUAAUCGGAAUUACUGGGCGUAAAGCGCGCGUAGGCGGUCUGAUAAGCCGGUUGUGAAAGCCCCGGGCUCAACCUGGGAACGGCAUCCGGAACUGUCAGGCUAGAGUGCAGGAGAGGAAGGUAGAAUUCCCGGUGUAGCGGUGAAAUGCGUAGAGAUCGGGAGGAAUACCAGUGGCGAAGGCGGCCUUCUGGACUGACACUGACGCUGAGGUGCGAAAGCGUGGGUAGCAAACAGGAUUAGAUACCCUAGUAGUC
rnacentral:rRNA from 1 species